rnacentral:sRNA from 1 species
UAAAAAUUAAACCAAUCUCAAACCUCAAUAUAUGGACGUUUGAGGUCUUUUUCUUAAGGGACUGAGAAUUUCAUAUCGCUCAUAUAGAAACACAUAUAUCCAGCAAUUUCUCUUUGAUAGAAAGUAUUCAAAAGUAUCGUAGAAACACUUGGUUCGUUAGAGCUGUUUUCCGAAAAUAGUUUAUAGAGGUUGUAUCAUGGGAUCCUUGAAUCACACAGAAACCGUCACACUACGGAUGAUUCAAAGGGUUAAGGACAGAGUUCAUCAACUCGACUCCUCUCUUGUCUUUCCGUAACAUUUGUGAUUUCAAU